ACUUUAAUAGUUUAAAUUAAAACACCGGUCUUGUAAAUCGGAGCUGGAGAACGCUCCUUAAAGUG
rnacentral:tRNA from 1 species